AGUGAACGCUGGCGGUAGGCCUAACACAUGCAAGUCGAACGGCAGCACAGUAAUAGCUUGCUCUUACGGGUGGCGAGUGGCGGACGGGUGAUGAAUACAUCGGAAUCUACUUUUUCGUGGGGGAUAACGUAGGGAAACUUACGCUAAUACCGCAUACGACCUACGGGUGAAAGCAGGGGAUCUUCGGACCUUGCGCGAUUGAAUGAGCCGAUGUCGGAUUAGCUAGUUGGCGGGGUAAAGGCCCACCAAGGCGACGAUCCGUAGCUGGUCUGAGAGGAUGAUCAGCCACACUGGAACUGAGACACGGUCCAGACUCCUACGGGAGGCAGCAGUGGGGAAUAUUGGACAAUGGGCGAAAGCCUGAUCCAGCCAUACCGCGUGGGUGAAGAAGGCCUUCGGGUUGUAAAGCACUUUUGUUGGGAAAGAAAAGCAGCAGGUUAAUACCCCGCUGUUCUGACGGUACCAAAAGAAUAAGCACCGGCUAACUUCGUG
rnacentral:rRNA from 1 species